UAGGAGAUGCUUCAAAGCCAUUUGGGUUCGUCGAUAAAUCUAGAGAUAUCACCACCAACAACAGAAGCAGCAGCAGCUUAGGCUUUUGCAUGGCCUUAUCUAUUGGUCCAAAUCCUACAAAUCAACAAGAAUUGCAACUAGAACAAGAACAAGAACACAGCAAUGAUAAUUCUACAGAUUCAGCAACAACAACCAAAAUCAAAACACCAACUAAUCUCUCCCUCUUAGAUCCACCUUUGAUCCAGCUUGAUCUUCUACCAAACACUCCUGUCACUCGCAGCAACCUCCAUGCCCUUCCUUGGCCUUCCUCUGAUAACGGGAGUUGUGAAGUGGCUUCAUCAGGGAACAUGGCCAGAUCAGGGUUAGAUGUGAAUAGGCUCCCAGCUGUUGAGGAGGCUGAGGAUGGGGCUGCACUUUCAUCUUCGCC
rnacentral:misc_RNA from 1 species